rnacentral:rRNA from 1 species
GAUUUGGANAUGCCCGCAGGGUGAUCCAGCCAUGCCGCGUGCAGGAAGAAGGCCCUAUGGGUUGUAAACUGCUUUUACACCGGAGAAAACCCCCCUACGUGUAGGGGGCUGAUAGUAUGGUGAGAAUAAGCAUCGGCUAACUUCGUGCCAGCAGCCGCGGUAAGACGAAGGAUGCAAGCGUUAUCCGGAUUUAUUGGGUUUAAAGGGAGCGUAGGUGGCCUUAUAAGUCAGUGGUGAAAGCCUGUUGCUUAACAACAGAAUUGCCAUUGAUACUGUAGGGCUUGAGUAUAGUUGCUGUGGGCGGAAUAUGACAUGUAGUGGUGAAAUACUUAGAGAUGUCAUAGAACACCGAUUGCGAAGGCAGCUCACAAAACUAUAACUGACACUGAGGCUCGAAAGUGCGGGGAUCAAACAGGAUUAGAUACCCUGGUAGUCCGCACUGUAAACGAUGAUUACUCGUUGCUGGGAAGCAAUUUUCAGUGACUAAGCGAAAGCGAUAAGUAAUCCACCUGGGGAGUACGCCGGCAACGGUGAAACUCAAAAAAAUUGACGGA